GCCACAUGACUAUUUGAGUGCGGCUAAAUAAUAUUUAUAUAUGUUUGGGAAACCAAGUCCGUCUCCUGACCUGGGUUGCUGUAGGAAGGGUUUUAAUAGUCUGUGCCUCUUUCUGGACCAUAUAAAAUCUUUGCAAAUGUGUAAGGUCCUGUUUAGUGACUCUGAUAGGUAGUGCCUGGAAUAGAAAUAAUAUUCUUGGCAACAAAUUAAUUUUGAUAGUGUAAACUUCCUAUCCACGAGGUUUCUCAUGCCAAAACAAACCGUAGUAGUGAGAGGGGACACCCCUGCCAUUGUCCAUGGCAAAUGUUUGAGGAGUACCAUUUGGACCCUGAGAGCGAAGUAAAGUGACCACAUGUAUGAAGGUGGCCAGAAGUCCCAGAUGUUCUAAAAGUCUGAACAUGUAAGGCCAUAACACCCACUCCAC